rnacentral:rRNA from 1 species
CCUACGGGGGGCUGCAGUUUCGAAUCAUUCACAAUGGGCGAAAGCCUGAUGGUGCGACGCCGCGUGAGGGAUGAAGGUCUUCGGAUUGUAAACCUCUGUCACCGGGGAAGAAACGCUUCAAGUUAAUAGUUUGAAGCCUGACUUAACCCGGAGGGGAAGCAGUGGCUAACUCUGUGCCAGCAGCCGCGGUAAUACAGAGACUGCAACCGUUAUUCGGAUUCACUGGGCGGGACAAGUGCGUGAGGUGUGAAAGCCCGGAGCUUAACUCCGGAAUUGCUCCUCAAACUACAUGGCUAGAGCAUUGGAGAGGGUAGCAGAAUUCACGGUGUAGCAGUGAAAUGCGUAGAUAUCGUGAGGAAUACCAGAGGCGAAGGCGGCUACCUGGACAAUUGCUGACGCUCAGGCACGAAAGCGUGGGGAGCAAAAGGGAUUAGAUACCCUAGUAGUC